AUGUUUCCUGUAGUUCCUCUGCUGCUUCUGGCUGCUGGAUCCUGUGUGAAGUGUGAACAGCUGACACAGCCAGACUCUGUGAGUCUGCAGCCAGGUCAGAGACUGACCAUCACCUGUCAGGUCUCUUAUUCGCUGGGCAGCUACUGGACAGCUUGGAUCAGACAGCCUGCAGGGAAAGGACUGGAGUGGAUUGGUAGUGAAUGUUUUGGGUGCAACAACAAAUACUACAAAGAUUCACUGAGGAAUAAGUUCAGUAUGACUUUGGACUCUUCCAACAAGAGAGUGACUCUAAAUGGACAGAACAUGCAGCCUGAAGACACUGCUGUGUAUUUCUGUGCCAGAGAUUCACAGUGAUACAAACCAUCAGCAGACCUGAACAAAAACCCUCAGAGCCUGAAAACUUGUAGCAUGAAUCCACCAGAGGAGGCGCUCUAACAUCACCAAUGAUUUUUUUUUUUUGCUUUACCUCCUUAAACACUUCAGGGUAUAUAUUUUAUAUAUACCUGUAAACACUGGUUCAACAAAUUAUUAUUUUUAUUAAAUCAAGAAAAAUAAAUGUAAAUCACAUCAGGACAUUGAUUUGUCCCUGCCCUAACUAUGAUCACAGUGAAUGCUUACAGUCAGAACAACCAGAUUCCACUGCAACAACAAUGUUCAUCAUUGUUCAUCAAUGGGUCACAUGUCAUCUGGAGACACAGACAUAACUGGGUGUCAUCAGCAUUACUGUAAAAGUUUAUGUCUUGUGUCCUGAUUACAUCUCCAAACUGAAGCAUAUAAAGGUUAAAAAGCGUGGGACCAAGGAUGGAGCUUUGUGGCACACCACAUGUCAGUGUGUGUUUCUCCCAGACUACAAACAUGUCACAAUAACAUGUUUAAAACAUCAAAACACUAUUUUCAGCAGAGUGGUUUAGAGUUUUCAUUAGAGUCUUUUGCUGAUUUGCUGUG